rnacentral:rRNA from 1 species
UACGUAGGGGGCAAGCGUUGUCCGGAUUUAUUGGGCGUAAAGAGCGUGUAGGCGGCCAGACAGGUCAGCUGUGAAAACUCGAGGCUCAACCUCGAGACGUCGGUUGAAACCGUCUGGCUAGAGUCCGGAAGAGGAGAGUGGAAUUCCCGGUGUAGCGGUGAAAUGCGCAGAUAUCAGGAAGAACACCCGUGGCUAAGGCGGCUCACUGGGGGUCUUCUGACGCUGAGGAACGAAAGCCAGGGGAGCGAACGGG